rnacentral:lncRNA from 1 species
AUCCAUCCUUAGUGUUUUCUAUUGCUUCACUUUAUUUGUACAUAUAUUCAAUGCAGUAAUGACAGGAGAAGGUAAAGACCGUCCUGAUAAAGGAAAGGGGAUAGCCAAGCCUAAAAAAAGGCAACGGACCGCAAAGUAUGUACUUAGGGUGCGUGAUGCACUACCUACCCCUACUCCUGCAGUACACCCUCCCCCUACUCAUACAGUAAACCCUCCUCCUCCUACCCCUGCAGUACACCCUCCUCCUCCUACCCCUGCAGUANAUGAGAACCCAACAAUUGAUAAUCAAAGCAUAUGAAGAAUCAUAUAAAUAAACAAGAGUUUCAAUAAAAGAGAGUUUCAAAAGAUUACAUUGUUUCCCCCAACAACAAAAGGGUUUAGUUCACCAUUGUCAUGGUGAACCUAGAUGAAAAUAAUGGAAGAAUGGAAGAGCAAACCCAAGAUAAGAUGAAAAGAAGCCUAAGCAUCCAAGAGAUCUUCUCCAAGGAGUGAAAAUUGGUCUGGUCGCCCUCUUCUGUCAAAAAAAUGAGAAUGAAAUCGCAACAGGGCUAUUUAUAGCUGAGGAGCGUCAUAGAAAACAGGCCCAGGUCCAGCGGACAACCGCUCGGCAGCACACUUAUGCCGCCCGGCGGUUUGCUCCUAAUCGUACCACCACCCGACGGUUUUCCACUUAUCGCAAAUCCGCCCAACGUCCACGCCAGGUGCCUCCUCCUC